AUUGAACGCUGGCGGCAUGCCUUACACAUGCAAGUCGAACGGUAACAGGUCUUCGGAUGCUGACGAGUGGCGAACGGGUGAGUAAUGUAUCGGAACGUGCCCAGUUGUGGGGGAUAACUACUCGAAAGAGUGGCUAAUACCGCAUACGACCUGAGGGUGAAAGCGGGGGAUCGCAAGACCUCGCGCAAUUGGAGCGGCCGAUAUCAGAUUAGGUAGUUGGUGGGGUAAAGGCUCACCAAGCCAACGAUCUGUAGCUGGUCUGAGAGGACGACCAGCCACACUGGGACUGAGACACGGCCCAGACUCCUACGGGAGGCAGCAGUGGGGAAUUUUGGACAAUGGACGCAAGUCUGAUCCAGCCAUGCCGCGUGCGGGAAGAAGGCCUUCGGGUUGUAAACCGCUUUUGUCAGGGAAGAAACGAGUGUCUCUAAUACAGAUGCUUAAUGACGGUACCUGAAGAAUAAGCACCGGCUAACUACGUGCCAGCCGCCGCGGUAAGAC
rnacentral:rRNA from 1 species